CUUCUCACACACCUCACUAACA
rnacentral:miRNA from 14 species